AAAAAAAUGAUGGCUUUGAGAUUCUCUCUUUUCAUCUUCAUCAUUUCUCUAUACUUUAUCAGUGAUUUUCCAGGAAUAUUUGGUCAUGAUGAAGACAUGACAAUUAAAACCAUGGAGGAAUUUUCUGGGUACCAAAUUCAUGAACCUAAAUAUCCCAAUUCUUUAUCUGUCAACUCUGAUACUCUACAGAAACAGAUAGAUGAGCUAGCAACUUUCUCAGAUUCACCUGCCCCUUCCGUCACUAGGAUCCUAUACAGUGAGAAGGAUGUAUUAGCAAGGAGUUAUAUUAAAGAUUUGAUGGAACUUUCUGGUCUCUCUGUUAAGGAGGAUGCUGUCGGGAACAUUUUUGGUCGGUGGAAUGGAUAUGAACCUGAGCUCGCCCCCGUUUUAACUGGCUCUCACGUUGAUGCUAUACCAUACUCCGGAAAAUAUGAUGGCGUGGUUGGUGUUUUGGGUGCAAUAGAGUCCAUUAAUGUGCUAAAGCGGUCGGGUUUCAAGCCUAAGAGGUCACUAGAAGUGAUUAUGUUCACUUCAGAAGAGCCCACGAGGUUUGGGAUAAGCUGUCUGGGAAGCCGUUUGCUGGCAGGAAGUGUACAACUUGCUGAACUUCUAAAGAGGACUGUUGACAACCAGAAUAUUUCCUUUUCUGAUGCUGCCAAAUCUGCUGGUUAUGCAAAUGCUAAGGGUGAUUUAUCUGAAAUCUUUCUCAAUAAAGGAAGCUAUUUUGCUUUUGUCGAGUUGCAUAUAGAGCAAGGUCCCAUUCUAGAAAAAGAAGGUACUUCCAUUGGUGUUGUGACUGCAAUUGCUGCUCCAGCAAGCAUCAAAGUAACAUUUGAAGGCAAUGGAGGUCAUGCAGGUGCUGCCUUGAUGCCAGACAGAAACGAUGCUGGACUGGCUGCUGCAGAGUUGGCUCUAGCUGUGGAGAAACAUGUACUAGAUUCCGGAUCCAUUGACACUGUUGGAACUGUUGGCAUUCUGAAGCUGCAUCCUGGAGCAAUCAAUAGCAUCCCGAGCAUGGCACACCUUGAAAUAGAUACACGUGACAUUGAUGAAAGCCGUCGAAAUCUUGUAAUUGAGAAAAUCCAUCAGUCAGCUUUGUCCAUUGCUAAAAAACGCAGAGUUAUACUCUCGGAGUUUGAAAUAGUGAAUCAAGAUCCACCAGCCCUUUCAGAUGAGUCAAUCACUAAGGCAACAGAAUUAGCAUGUCAAGAGCUGAAUUUGACUCACAAGAAAAUGAUUAGUCGAGCCUAUCAUGAUUCCUUGUUUAUGGCAAGAGUAUCUCCGAUGGGCAUGAUAUUCAUUCCAUGUUACAAGGGAUAUAGCCAUAAGCCUGAAGAGUUUUCAUCCGUUGAAGAUAUCGCGAACGGGGUGAAAGUUCUUGCAUUAACUCUUGCCAAAUUAUCCCUCUCAUAAUUGCCUUCAUGUAGUUUAACACUUCUUAAUGCUUCAGGGCAUUUUUAUUUUUUUUACUUCUACAUGUUUUCUGAAUAUCCUCCUAUGUCUCUAAUAAUAGUUGGCUUUGUU
rnacentral:misc_RNA from 1 species